GGGGAAUAUUGCACAAUGGAGGAAACUCUGAUGCAGCGACGCCGCGUGAAUGAUGAAGGCCUUCGGGUCGUAAAAUUCUGUCCUAGGGGAAGAUAAUGACGGUACCCUAGGAGGAAGCCCCGGCUAACUACGUGCCAGCAGCCGCGGUAAUACGUAGGGGGCGAGCGUUGUCCGGAAUUAUUGGGCGUAAAGAGUUCGUAGGCGGUUUUUUAAGUCAGAUGUGAAAGGCUACAGCUUAACUGUGGUAAGCAUUUGAAACUGGAAGACUUGAGUUAAGGAGAGGAAAGUGGAAUUCCUAGUGUAGCGGUGAAAUGCGUAGAUAUUAGGAGGAAUACCAGUGGCGAAGGCGACUUUCUGGACUUAUACUGACGCUGAGGAACAAAAGCGUGGGGAGCAAAC
rnacentral:rRNA from 1 species